GGAGUCGGCCGGACAGUCGCUGCCGCUUAGGCGGGAGAGGAAAGUCCGGGCUCCGAAGGGCGGAGUGCCAGGUAAUACCUGGGGGGCGCGAGCCUACGGAAAGUGCCACAGAAAAUAAACCGCCAAGGGCGUUUGAUGAGCAAGCGCACUUGGUAAGGGUGAAAAGGUGCGGUAAGAGCGCACCGCGUUCCUGGUAACAGAGACGGCAGGGUAAACCCCACUCGGAGCAAGACCAAAUAGGGGAGCAAUGGUGUGGCCCGCACAAGCUCCUGGGUAGGUCGCUAGAAGCAUGCGGUGACGUAUGUUCUAGAUGAAUGACUGUCCACGACAGAACCCGGCUUACAGGCCGGCUCCCCCC
rnacentral:RNase_P_RNA from 1 species